GCACAGGUAGUUCAGUGGUAGAACUCCUGCCUGGUAAGCGGAAGCCCCGGGUUCGAUUCCCGGUCUGUGCA
rnacentral:tRNA from 1 species